CGCGGAGCACGGAGGACGGGGCCGGGCGACCUGGGCACCAGCAGGACCCGAGGCCAGGAGCCAGGGGCCCAGAAGAUUGAGCUUCUAGAGCCUCAGAGAUGGAAUUCGCCGUUUUGCCGCGAUUUGGCGUUAACUUAUUGACCCAUGGGGAGGAGGGUCACUUCCCGUGAAAAGAAGGCAGAGAUGUUUUGCUGUGCCCAGUGUGAGGAAGCGAAGGAAAAGAAAGAUCUUUUGAAAAUGUGUACAUCUACUUGCAGCUUGAAAAUUCCAAGUGCCAGACAUUUUUCUUGGAGGAAAUAAAUGUCUUCAAUUUAUUCAUCUUACCUGUUGAUUAUGUUCUGUAAUGAUUUAUUUUAUAAUUUAAUCCUUGUCUAGAACCGAGGCCAUCUUUGGAAAGUAAAAGACCUAGGUCUCUUUGGUCCAGGAGACAUUGUGGCCCUCUCUUAAAAUCAUUGACUGCCGAGAUCUGGGCCCAGGCGGCUCUCGGACUGAACCGGUCUGUGCUAGGCAGCCUGGCCCACUCGGCCUUCAAAACACAAGGGAUGGGAGACAUAUGCUCGGCUCACAUCGUUUUGUUUUGAUUUAUUUUAAACUGCUUAAGAUGAUUUUAGCACAAGGAGUGGUGUAUCUUACUUGCAUUCUGAGAGCCACUGGAUUUGCAAGCUAGAGUACAAUUUUUUUUUUAAUCCAAAUUUAGAAAUUGCCUUUUAGAGUAGACAACAGCAUGCUACUUUGCCUUUUAACUCACUUUUAAAGAACGAUUCUUAAGAUCAAGUACAUUGAAUUUGGAGAUUGGUCCCCCUCCGUUAUUAGGGGCUGGAAAUGGCCCACUUUUCAAAAAUAAGGUCAGAAAAGGGGUGUUUCUGACCUAAGAGUUCUUCCAGGCUGGGCUCGUACCACAGAGAUUCUUCCACACCCAUGUCCUGAGUCCUUGUCCUACACACCAUUUUUUCUUCCAAGGAGAAGGAGUGUGGCAUUCAGUUCCAGUGUCAUCGUGUGGAAAAGAGUCCCUGCCUGGCUGAGAAACUGUCACAGGCAGCCGGGCCACUUCCCAGCAUGACCCACAAGCCCGAUGGUGCCCCUCGAAUGGUUAAGGGACCCGUACAGAUACCAUUCUUUUAAAGCAAGCCAAUGCAAUCUUCACGAAUUGCAGUUCCACCCUGGCUGCUGGUACUAACUCUAAUAAUGGAAAAAAAUUUAAAAGAUUGGGGACAACAGGAAACACAUUGGAUCCCCAGGGGAAACGGCCUGGAAGCUACAGUAGAGACAUGGGUGACCCAAGGGCUCUGUUCAAGUCCUGGGGCUGUUCCCUUUAUUCCUCCAAGCCUCAGCUCCCCGGAUUUAAAGUGAGAACAGCACCCAGCCCAGCCCACUGUCAAGGGCUGUUGCAGGAAUAUGACAACAGCCACCAAUAUUUGCAUAGCAGAGAUGCCCAGUUUCGUUUUCUAUUUGAAAGUUUCUCUGAAGGGGGAUGUGCUAGAGACACGAGAACAACUGCUACCAUCUUAAUAACUUUUCUGGCAAUACACGACGAUGAUUGUUUAUGUUAAUCUCAUAACUAUUAACAAUAAUUCAUUUCAUUCUCAUAAUGAAUUAUAUCUAUUUGACUUAUAAUAAAUAGAAUCAUAUCAGUAAAAAAAAAAAAAAAAAA
rnacentral:lncRNA from 1 species